rnacentral:rRNA from 1 species
UACGAAGGGUGCAAGCGUUACUCGGAAUUACUGGGCGUAAAGCGUGCGUAGGUGGUGGUUUAAGUCUGCUGUGAAAGCCCUGGGCUCAACCUGGGAAUUGCAGUGGAUACUGGAUCACUAGAGUGUGGUAGAGGGAUGCGGAAUUUCUGGUGUAGCAGUGAAAAUGCGUAGAGAUCAGAAGGAACAUCCGUGGCGAAGGCGGCAUCCUGGGGCCAACACUGACACUGAGGCACGAAAAGCGUGGGGGAUCGAACAGG